GGCUCUGAUGCUAUUGCACCACAUGUGUUUUUCUUUGAAACAAACUUGCUUUGGCGGUGGGCCCAGCCUGCCGCCAGAGGUCUAAACUUACAACCAAUUUUUUAUCAACUUGUCACACCAGAUUAUUACUAAUAGUCAAAACUUUCAACAACGGAUCUCUUGGUUCUCGCAUCGAUGAAGAACGCAGCGAAAUGCGAUACGUAAUAUGAAUUGCAGAUAUUCGUGAAUCAUCGAAUCUUUGAACGCACAUUGCGCCCUCUGGUAUUCCGGAGGGCAUGCCUGUUUGAGCGUCGUUUCUCCCUCAAACCGCUGGGUUUGGUGUUGAGCAAUACGACUUGGGUUUGCUUGAAAGACGGUAGUGGUAAGGCGGGAUCGCUUUGACAAUGGCUUAGGUCUAACCAAAAACAUUGCUUGCGGCGGUAACGUCUACCACGUAUAUCUUCAAACUUUGACCUCAAAUCAGGUAGGACUACCCGCUGAACUUAAGCAUAUCAAUAAGCGGAGGAA
rnacentral:rRNA from 1 species